GCGUGCGCAGGGGGCGGUGGGAGGGCCCCGCGCGGCGCCACUAACCUGUGCUUACGGAACGCCUGCUGUCUAUCGGCUCCUUCGCGACCUCCUCCGCCUGCAGAGCAUCUCCGGCCGGGGCCUUGGGCGAGUGACCGAGCCUCUCCUGGGUUGUCCCCAGGUUUGUCGGAGAGGGUGGUGACUUCACCUUGCAGGCAGGGUUGACCAUCUUAGCCGUUUUUAAGUGUACAGAUCAGCGGCGGGAAGUACGUUCACGCUAUUCCGCAGCCUCCGCCACCAUCCACAGGACGUUUCCACCAGUGAUGGUUUCACAGCGGACUGCCUUCCAAGGGGAGGCUCUGUCUUCACUCUCUUCUUGCCCAGCAGUCAGUCACUACGGAGUCUCCACCUGCUGAGUCCUGAGACACAGAAGGGCCCUGCCCUCCCCGAGCUUUUAGCAGGAGGGACGGCAAGCAAACAAGGACCCCAACCGCUCCUUUGCAUCAGAUUAACCGCGGUCAGGCCUCUCCCGGCAUAGACACAAAAAUAAAAUCAGUAUCCUUUGCCCA